ACGGGGGGGGCAAGCGUUGUUCGGAAUUACUGGGCGUAAAGGGCGCGUAGGCGGUUUGCUAAGUCGGAUGUGAAAACUCUGGGCUCAACCCAGAGCCUGCAUCCGAAACUGGCAGGCUAGAGUUCUGGAGGGGGUAGCGGAAUUCCGGGUGUAGCGGUGGAAUGCGUAGAGAUCCGGAGGAAGACCGGUGGCGAAGGCGGCCUGCUGGCAGUUACUGACACUGAGGCGCGACAGCGUGGGGAGCAAACAGGA
rnacentral:rRNA from 1 species